UUGCAUUUAUACUUAAAUAUGCAAGUAUAAUAUACAUUUAUAUGCAAGUAUAUAUUUGAAACAGCAUAUUUUUGCUGUCACACAAUCAUUCUACGAUAUCAUAUAUAUAUCAGGGUAUAGCCAAACCAUAAUUUAAUUAUAAUUAUAUAAUUAUAUACCACACACAUAUAUGACUGUAUUUAAUUUUAAGUUAAUUAAAAAUUUACAAUUCUCAACCGCUAGAUGGCAACUGUGGCUCUACUGAGACAUGACCACUGGCAACGCGAGACUUGAACGUUGACUCUCGAUCACUGUUGCCAGAUCUCGCGAUAAACAUUUCCGCAUUUUACAACCGUUGGAGACGGAGAGCAAGCAACAGCAAAUGUUAAAGCAAAUUCUUUCCUGCUUUUGGUCAUGAGAAGAAGCAGCAAGCAGGAGGCAUUACUCCAAGAGAAACUACUGACAUACUAUUGUAAAGAUGGAGUUUGAGGAAGAAACCUGCAGAAUAAAAGAUGAAGAUUCAGAGGAACUAAUAGGAGAAGAAGCAAGCAGGAGGAAUUACUCCAGGAGAAACUACAGCUGAAAGUUCAUGAGAGAGUUACUGGAGAGAAGCCGCACCAGUGCUCUUCAUGUGGGAAGAGUUUCAGCCAAUCAUCUAAUCUAUGGGCUCAUAAGAAAAAGCUCUUCACACAAAAGUCCAUCACUUACAAGUAAAUAAAUUGAUAUGCAGAUUUUGCAAAGGCUGGAAUUUUUCACUUAGUGACUUCAGUUAAGAAUGUCAUUUGCUAAAAUUAGCAGUGAAGUUUGAUCGUUUGACAAAGGACAAAGUAACACUGCAGAAUGUGUUGCUGUAAAAUGCUACGGUUUAUGAGGGAAAUGUUUUAUGAAUUAAAUAAAUCACAUUAAUUGUGCAUAUGAGCAUUUGUGAAUCAAUUGCAAAUUUAGUGCAUGAAAUCAUGUGUAUCGUGAACAAAUCAAUAUCAAGUUGUUGUUUUUUUUUUUUUUUGUCAAGCUGUUUAGAGGUUGGAGCGUUGAGAACAAA